UGGGCAACCUGCCCCUCUCUCUGGGAUAACCCCGGGAAACCGGAGCUAAUACCGGAUACUCCAGCUGGAUCGCAUGGUCCGGCCGGGAAAGGUCCGCCGGAGAGGGAUGGGCCCGCGGCCUAUCAGCUUGUUGGUGAGGUCAAGGCUCACCAAGGCUACGACGGGUAGCUGGUCUGAGAGGACGACCAGCCACACUGGAACUGAGAUACGGUCCAGACUCCGUACGGGAGGCA
rnacentral:rRNA from 1 species